rnacentral:RNase_P_RNA from 1 species
CUCGCAGGCCGGGUGACCGCGGGCCCUCGGGCUCGAGGAAAGUCCGGACACCGCAGGGCAGGACGCUCCCGCGAGGGAGGCGGCGAAAGCCGACGGAAAGUGGCACAGAAAACAGACCGCCUGCUGCGUGAUCUCCGGAGACGCAGCCGGCAAGGGUGAAACGGUGGGGUAAGAGCCCACCAGCGGCGGUGGCGACAUCGCCGGCUCGCCAAACCCCGUCCGGUGCAAGGCAAGGAGGCUCCGCCGAGGCGGCCCGCCGAGGAGCCGGGUAGCCGCAACAGAUGGAUGGUCACCCUCGACAGAAUCCGGCUUACAGGCCUGCUACGGAG